rnacentral:misc_RNA from 1 species
GAUGAAGAACGCAGCGAAAUGCGAUAAGUAGUGUGAAUUGCAGAAUUCAGUGAAUCAUCGAAUCUUUGAACGCACAUUGCGCCCCUUGGUAUUCCAUGGGGCAUGCCUGUUCGAGCGUCAUUUGUACCUUCAAGCUUUGCUUGGUGUUGGGUGUUUGUCUCGCCUCUGCGUGUAGACUCGCCUUAAAACAAUUGGCAGCCGGCGUAUUGAUUUCGGAGCGCAGUACAUCUCGCGCUUUGCACUCAUAACGACGACGUCCAAAAGUACAUUUUUACACUCUUGACCUCGGAUCAGGUAGGGAUACCCGCUGAACUUAAGCAUAUCAAUAAGCGGAGGA